rnacentral:rRNA from 2 species
UGUAGAGCAUAUGCAACAUAGGAAGAGCCGGGUUUAAAAGGUCCGGCGAAUACAAUCCGCGCUAAAUUCUGGUGCCAGCAGGCGCGGUAAUACCAGGGCGGCGAGCAUACCUAAGCGUUACUGCGUUUAAAGGUUCCUAGCUUGAUGCAGGGCGGCUGGAGGGGUGUUCAUAUAGAGAUCCCGAAGGCCGUCCGUUGGGGGGCUGCGCUUUAAUCUAAGUGCCUAAGAUGCUGCUUGGCCCACUUGUGGGGGCAGAGGGUGCGCGCACAACCCCCUUUUGUCCUGUCCUAUGUCGGGCAGGGCAGCAACACGGAGAAGUUCGACGGCAGGAGUAUUGUUUGACGAGAGGUGGAAUUCACUGACUCAAACAGGACUACCAGUGGCGAAAGCGCCUGCCGAGGACUCGCUCGUCAGCCAAGGACCAAAGUUGGGGUAUCGAAAACGAUUAGACACCGUUGUAGUCCCAACCACAAACUUUGCUGACUGGCCUUGUGGCACCCUACGGCUUCGGCUAGGGGGUGGUGCGGGGCCUAGGCGAAAGCAUAGUCUUCGAGUCACUUGGAGAGUAUGCCCGCAAGAGUGAAACUUAAAUGAGUUGGCGGAGUCCCAUACAUGAACUGGAGCUUGCGGUUUAAUUUGAUUCAACACGGGACAACUUACCAGGGCCUCGGCAAGUAUGAGUCGUUCCCUGUCUCAGGGUGUGGUUGAAAUCCAACGACGAUUUUGCCUGGGGUUGUGCAUGGCCACCCGAGGCCGAUGGAUUGAUCUUUUGGUUAAGUCCGGUAAUCGGCGAGACCCGCGCUGUCAGUUUCGAGCCAAGAGGCGAGUCUGGCAGAACCGCAUUCGCAAGAGUGAGGUAGGACGGUCUAAGGUAGGUCCGUGAUGCAUUUUUAUGUCCUGGGCGACCCGCGCGCUACAAUGGCAUGUGAAGGCUGUGGGCUGUCCUGAGAAGGUCGGCAAAUCAGCAAAGCAUGUCGUAGUGGGGAUUGUGGGCUGGAAAGGCCCGCAUGAACGAGGAACUUCUCGUAAGCGCGUCUCAACAGAGCGCGCUGAAUAGGUCCCGGGGACUUGUUCACACUGUCCGUCAUACACAUCAACGCCUGCUGUGGCGAGUUGCCUGGACUUCUUCUGUGCUCUAGCGAUAGUGCGCGGAGGAGGAAAGGGAGGCGAGUCCUGGCAGGUGGAGUUUUGUCAAGUCGUAGCAAGGUAUCGGUAGGUGAACCUUCCGAUGGAUCCAAA